rnacentral:rRNA from 1 species
AUUGAACGCUGGCGGCAGGCUUAACACAUGCAAGUCGAGCGGAGCGAGGGUGCUUGCACCUUAGCUUAGCGGCGGACGGGUGAGUAAUGCUUAGGAAUCUGCCUAUUAGUGGGGGACAACAUUCCGAAAGGAAUGCUAAUACCGCAUACGCCCUACGGGGGAAAGCAGGGGAUCUUCGGACCUUGCGCUAAUAGAUGAGCCUAAGUCGGAUUAGCUAGGUGGUGGGGUAAAGGCCUACCAAGGCGACGAUCUGUAGCGGGUCUGAGAGGAUGAUCCGCAACACUGGGACGGAGACACGGCCCAGACUCCUACGGGAGGCAGCAGUGGGGAAUAUUGGACAAUGGGCGGAAGCCUGAUCCAGCCAUGCCGCGUGUGUGAAGAAGGCCUUUUGGUUGUAAAGCACUUUAAGCGAGGAGGAGGCUCUUAAGGUUAAUACCCUUGAUGAGUGGACGUUACUCGCAGAAUAAGCACCGGCUAACUCUGUGCCAGCAGCCGCCGUAACAC